rnacentral:lncRNA from 1 species
UGAUGCUAUGGAUAUGAGACCGCUUGGACAUUGUUAUUAUUUGAUUAAGCUUGAUUCUUGUCAAUUUUCAUGUUCUGUUUUGGUUUAUUGCUCCCUCUUUGACCCUAGGCCUUGUCCUAGUGAUUAGCCUCUCACAUUUGAGCUUUGUUUCAGGUUAAAAAGCACAAUUGCCAUGCUUGAUGAGGUUCACUCAUUUGGAGUUGAUCCAUUGCUUGUUGAUGACUAACUCUGAGUUUGUUUUGUAGGCUUUAAG